GACGAACGCUGGCGGCAUGCCUAACACAUGCAAGUCGAACGAGACGUUCUGUUCUCGGUGCGGACGGGUUCGUAACCCGUGAGAACCUUCCCUUAGGGUGGGAAUAACUCGCCGAAAGGGGUUCUAAUACCGGAGAAUGUCUUCGGACCAAAGAAUUAUCGCGUUUGGAUGGGUCCGCGUUGGAUUAGCUAGUUGGUAGGAGAAAAGCCUACCAAGGCGACGAUCCAUAGCUCGUCUGAGAGGAUGAUCAGACACACUGGGACUGAGACACGGCCCAGACUCCUACGAGAGGGAGCAGUGGAGAAUAUUGGAAAGUGGGCGAAAGUCUGAUCCCGCAAUGCCGCGUGAGUGAAGAAGGCCUUAGGGUUGUAAAGCUCUUUUAGCAGGGAAGAUAAUGACGGUACCGGGAGAAUAAGCACCGGCUAACUCCGUG
rnacentral:rRNA from 1 species